UACGUAGGGUGCAAGCGUUAUCCGGAAUUAUUGGGCGUAAAGAGCUCGUAGGCGGUUUGUCGCGUCUGCUGUGAAAACCCGAGGCUCAACCCUCGGGCCUGCAGUGGGUACGGGCAGACUAGAGUGCGGUAGGGGAGAUUGGAAUUCCUGGUGUAAGCGGUGAAAUGCGCAGAUAUCAGGAGGAACACCGAUGGCGAAGGCAGGUCUCUGGGCAUUAACUGACGCUGAGGAGCGAAAGCAUGGGGGAGCGAACAGG
rnacentral:rRNA from 1 species